CUGUUCACAGUCCCUGCAGGAGUCCUUCCCAGUCAGGACACAGCAUGGCCAUGAAGUCUCCUGCACAGGUCCUGGCAAUUUGGCUACUUUGGCUCUCAGGUGCCUUAUGUGAUAUUCAAGUGACACAGUCUCCAUCCCUCCUGUCCGCAUCUCUAGGAGAAAAAGUGACCAUCACUUGCCUGGCAAGUCAGGGCAUUAGCAAUUACCUGAGCUGGUACCAGCAGAAACCAGGACAAUCUCCUACACUAUUGAUCUAUUAUGCAACUGGUUUGCAAUCUGGUGUCCCAUCAAGGUUCAGUGGCCAAUAUUCUGGGAGAAGUUUCACUCUAAGCAUCAGCAGCCUGGAGCCUGAAGAUGUUGCAACUUAUUACUGUCUUCAACAUAACAGUAUUCCUCACACAGUGAUACAAGUCAUGACAUAA